UAAGACGGAGGGCGCAAGCGUUGUUCGGAAUUACUGGGCGUAAAGGGCAGGCAGGCGGUUCGUUAAGUCAUUUGUGAAAAUCCGGGGCUCAACCCCGCGAAAUGCAAAUGAUACUGACAAACUGGAGACCGGUAGAGGCUAGCGGAAUUCCUGGUGUAGCGGUGGAAUGCGUAGAUAUCAGGAAGAACACCUGUGGCGAAGGCGGCUAGCUGGGCCGGGUCUGACGCUGAACUGCGAAAGCGUGGGGAGCAAACAGGAUUAGAUACCCUGGUAGUCCACGCCGUAAACGAUGGGCACUAGGUACCGGGUCUAUAGACGGAUUCGGUGCCGCAGCUAACGCAUUAAGUGCCCCGCCUGGGGAGUACGGUCGCAAGGCUG
rnacentral:rRNA from 1 species